rnacentral:rRNA from 1 species
AGAGUUUGAUCCUGGCUCAGGACGAACGCUGGCGGCGCGCCUAACACAUGCAAGUCGAACGAGCGAGAGAGAGCUUGCUUUCUCGAGCGAGUGGCGAACGGGUGAGUAACGCGUGAGGAACCUGCCUCAAAGAGGGGGACAACAGUUGGAAACGACUGCUAAUACCGCAUAAGCCCACGGCUCGGCAUCGAGCAGAGGGAAAAGGAGCAAUCCGCUUUGAGAUGGCCUCGCGUCCGAUUAGCUAGUUGGUGAGGUAACGGCCCACCAAGGCAACGAUCGGUAGCCGGACUGAGAGGUUGAACGGCCACAUUGGGACUGAGACACGGCCCAGACUCCUACGGGAGGCAGCAGUGGGGAAUAUUGCACAAUGGGGGAAACCCUGAUGCAGCGACGCCGCGUGGAGGAAGAAGGUCUUCGGAUUGUAAACUCCUGUUGUUGAGGAAGAUAAUGACGGUACUCAACAAGGAAGUGACGGCUAACUACGUGCCAGCAGCCGCGGUAAAACGUAGGUCACAAGCGUUGUCCGGAAUUACUGGGUGUAAAGGGAGCGCAGGCGGGAAGACAAGUUGGAAGUGAAAUCCAUGGGCUCAACCCAUGAACUGCUUUCAAAACUGUUUUUCUUGAGUAGUGCAGAGGUAGGCGGAAUUCCCGGUGUAGCGGUGGAAUGCGUAGAUAUCGGGAGGAACACCAGUGGCGAAGGCGGCCUACUGGGCACCAACUGACGCUGAGGCUCGAAAGUGUGGGUAGCAAACAGGAUUAGAUACCCUGGUAGUCCACACUGUAAACGAUGAUUACUAGGUGUUGGAGGAUUGACCCCUUCAGUGCCGCAGUUAACACAAUAAGUAAUCCACCUGGGGAGUACGACUGCAAGGUUGAAACUCAAAGGAAUUGACGGGGGCCCGCACAAGCAGUGGAGUAUGUGGUUUAAUUCGACGCAACGCGAAGAACCUUACCAAGUCUUGACAUCCUGCGACGGUGCUGGAAACAGUACUUUCCUUCGGGACGCAGAGACAGGUGGUGCAUGGUUGUCGUCAGCUCGUGUCGUGAGAUGUUGGGUUAAGUCCCGCAACGAGCGCAACCCUUAUGGUCAGUUACUACGCAAGAGGACUCUGGCCAGACUGCCGUUGACAAAACGGAGGAAGGUGGGGAUGACGUCAAAUCAUCAUGCCCUUUAUGACUUGGGCUACACACGUACUACAAUGGCGUUAAACAAAGAGAAGCAAGACCGCGAGGUGGAGCAAAACUCAGAAACAACGUCCCAGUUCGGACUGCAGGCUGCAACUCGCCUGCACGAAGUCGGAAUUGCUAGUAAUCGCAGAUCAGCAUGCUGCGGUGAAUACGUUCCCGGGCCUUGCACACACCGCCCGUCA